rnacentral:rRNA from 1 species
GUGGGGAAUAUUGGACAAUGGGCGAAAGCCUGAUCCAGCCAUGCCGCGUGUGUGAAGAAGGUCUUCGGAUUGUAAAGCACUUUAAGUUGGGAGGAAGGGCAGUAAGUUAAUACCUUGCUGUUUUGACGUUACCGACAGAAUAAGCACCGGCUAACUUCGUGCCAGCAGCCGCGGUAAUACGAAGGGUGCAAGCGUUAAUCGGAAUUACUGGGCGUAAAGCGCGCGUAGGUGGUUUUGUAAGUUGGAGGUGAAAUCCCCGGGCUCAACCUGGGCACUGCCUCAAAAACUGCAUGACUAGAGUACGGUAGAGGGUAGUGGAAUUUCCUGUGUAGCGGUGAAAUGCGUAGAUAUAGGAAGGAACACCAGUGGCGAAGGCGACUACCUGGACUGAUACUGACACUGAGGUGCGAAAGCGUGGGGAGCAAACAGGAUUAGAAACCCGAGUAGUCC